rnacentral:misc_RNA from 1 species
GAUGAAGAACGCAGCGAAAUGCGAUAAGUAAUGUGAAUUGCAGAAUUCAGUGAAUCAUCGAAUCUUUGAACGCACAUUGCGCCCGCCAGUAUUCUGGCGGGCAUGCCUGUUCGAGCGUCAUUACAACCCUCAAGCCCCCGGGCCUGGCGUUGGGGAUCGGCGGAAGCCCCCUGCGGGCACAACGCCGUCCCCCAAAUACAGUGGCGGUCCCGCCGCAGCUUCCAUUGCGUAGUAGCUAACACCUCGCAACUGGAGAGCGGCGCGGCCACGCCGUAAAACACCCAACUUCUGAAUGUUGACCUCGAAUCAGGUAGGAAUACCCGCUGAACUUAAGCAUAUCAAUAAGCGGAGGA